CCCGGCUUGGUCGGGCGUUUCCUCACACACACCGUGUCCGGAGCCCCCUGACACAGCCUGCGGCCUGAGGGGGACCGGCUCCCAGAGCAGAGGACAGGGACCAAGCGGCUCACAGCAUCGCUGGGCUGCCAAGAGUUUGGAUGAUGAUGCCCUACUGUUGAUUUCCCUCCCUGGCAGUUUCUGAACCCUACACCUCUGAGGAAGAAUCAGAAAAGCACCAUUCUGAGCUGCAUUGAGCCUAAGGGUCAGAGGUCUGGAUCUGGAUGGCCUUGAUGGGGUUAAAGUGAAAACGAAGAGCAGAGGGAAAGCUGCCCCUGAUCCCUGUCUUACUGAUGUUGAAAGAGAUCUCUAUUCCUUACUUCCUAAAGGAAAGAAAAUGAUCUGCCGCAGGAAAAUUAAGUUAGCAAGGUUGAGGAUCCAACCCAAACACAUUGGUUACGACCACAAAGAUUGUGAGUACCGAGAAGUCUGUGACCACCGCUGCUGACUCAUUCCCUGCCACACUCAUCUGACAUGGGAGCCCAUGCCUCCCCUCCCACCUCCAUUCACAAAUUAUCUGCUCAUGGACUGGGUUCCCUCAAAAGCUAUCUGGCUUCAUCCCCAUCUCAGUGGUACCUUUCUGAUACCUUGAUUUUGACUCUGAGGUAAACCCAUUGCCUAGGAAGGAUAAGUGUGAGUUCAGCCAGAUGAAUUAUGAGCAACAUUUUCUUUUCAAUUUUCUUGUCUCCAAUCCCACAGAAGAUUAUUUUAGUCCAACAGAAUACGAUCCUGUCCUUCAGGUAGAUGAGCCAGUCAUUUUACAUCAGCAUGCAGUGUAAUUAUCCUGUGUGUUCCCUAUAACAGGUAUUCUACUCAGAGUUUUCUUCCACCUGAAAUCUGGAUGUGUUGCUGACUUCAGGAUCACAUAGUGUGAACUUUCUGCAAAAAGCUCUGGGAUGGAGAAAAUCCUACUCAUGUCAUGUCUUACUCCAUAUGGCUGCGCUAAAGCCAACUUCAAUUACUGCUGUUGUGAUACUACCCACUGCACAAUACUUACACACACUGUUCAGAUGCUGCAAGAACCAGGACAGUUUGGCAAACUCCUGGCCAAGCAGGCUAUCCUUCAAAUUCAGAUAGCCCCUUUGUCACGGUGCGGUUUGAAUGCAGCCCAGUUUCUCCUGCCAGUUGAUGUGACAAGAGUUUGAAGAUUUUCUAGGUAAAUUAGAUUUUUUAAAAUAAUUGAAAACAUACAAGCUAAAAUACAGACGAAAAUUGGUUAGGUGUACUAUUAGUUAUUGCACUCCCAUUUUACUAGUGCUACACAUGAAUAGAGAUAAGAAAACAGUCAGAACGGGGGGGAGAUGUCUUGGGCAUAGCUCAGGAGACCUGGAGACAGACAACUUUAGGGAGGAAGAGUUGCAAAGAAGGCAUCAAAAUGGGGUUCAGUUGAACCAGUGUUUAAAGCUUUUAGGAAGUGCCUUUUUUAGCAAGGUUUUAAAGGCAGUUAUCCUCACAGAAUUUGUUUUAUGCUUGUCUUGAGGAUGAAGAUAGCAAUAUUGCAUUAUUUAUCUGCCUCUUACCCUCAGUGUAGUCUCUGAAUGUGCAGGCCUCUCCUUGGCCCUGCGUUGGACACAAGAUGGCAGAUCUGUCUCUAUUGACAGGAAACGGGGAAGAGCACUCGCCCCUCAGUGCUGGCUGCUCAGCAAGGGCAGCAAGACGUUUGUUACUCCUUGAGAGCACGAGACAGUACAUUCCCCAGCUGGCAGAGACAAUAGGCUCCAGCGCAAUAGGCUUCCAGCACUUCUGAGUUAGAAAAGACAGGAAUUUUAGCACUAAUACAAAAACAUCCCUUUCUAGAUGAGCAAAAACUGUCUGCAGAAAGGGAAUGUCUGUAAACAGAGGCACAAGACCAGGAAGCCCCUAUCCUACCUUGUCUGAGUUCAGCUGCUGUACUCCUUGAAAGACAUUUGGGAAAUGGGAAAGUAAAAGUAAGAUUCCAGUCCUGCAAAUACUGUUCAGGUUUCUGACAUGCUUAAACUUAACCACGUGCUUUUGUUUACCAUAAAGGGACCUAAAAUUAACCUCUUUAUGUUUUUAUUAUUAUUUAUUUUUAUUU